rfam:Candidatus Methanomethylophilus sp. 1R26 contig_10, whole genome shotgun sequence.
UAGGUCGGCGCCGGGGACCCGAACGCGAUGGCCGUCGCUCACAGCCUGUGCUCCGGAAUGGGCGGGAUCAGGACCUCUGGAGACCUAGUCGGCAGGAUGC